rnacentral:rRNA from 1 species
GACGAACGCUGGCGGCGUGCUUAACACAUGCAAGUCGAACGGAAAGGCCCUGCUUUUGUGGGGUGCUCGAGUGGCGAACGGGUGAGUAACACGUGAGUAACCUGCCCUUGACUUUGGGAUAACUUCAGGAAACUGGGGCUAAUACCGGAUAGGAGCUCCUGCUGCAUGGUGGGGGUUGGAAAGUUUCGGCGGUUGGGGAUGGACUCGCGGCUUAUCAGCUUGCUGGUGGGGUAGUGGCUUACCAAGGCUUUGACGGGUAGCCGGCCUGAGAGGGUGACCGGCCACAUUGGGACUGAGAUACGGCCCAGACUCCUACGGGAGGCAGCAGUGGGGAAUAUUGCACAAUGGGCGGAAGCCUGAUGCAGCAACGCCGCGUGCGGGAUGACGGCCUUCGGGUUGUAAACCGCUUUCGCCUGUGACGAAGCGUGAGUGACGGUAAUGGGUAAAGAAGCACCGGCUAACUACGUGCCAGCAGCCGCGGUGAUACGUAGGGUGCGAGCGUUGUCCGGAUUUAUUGGGCGUAAAGGGCUCGUAGGUGGUUGAUCGCGUCGGAAGUGUAAUCUUGGGGCUUAACCCUGAGCGUGCUUUCGAUACGGGUUGACUUGAGGAAGGUAGGGGAGAAUGGAAUUCCUGGUGGAGCGGUGGAAUGCGCAGAUAUCAGGAGGAACACCAGUGGCGAAGGCGGUUCUCUGGGCCUUUCCUGACGCUGAGGAGCGAAAGCGUGGGGAGCGAACAGGCUUAGAUACCCUGGUAGUCCACGCUGUAAACGGUGGGUACUAGGUGUGGGGUCCAUUCCACGGGUUCCGUGCCGUAGCUAACGCUUUAAGUACCCCGCCUGGGGAGUACGGCCGCAAGGCUAAAACUCAAAGGAAUUGACGGGGCCCCGCACAAGCGGCGGAGCAUGCGGAUUAAUUCGAUGCAACGCGUAGAACCUUACCUGGGUUUGACAUGGAUCGGGAGUGCUCAGAGAUGGGUGUGCCUCUUUUGGGGUCGGUUCACAGGUGGUGCAUGGCUGUCGUCAGCUCGUGUCGUGAGAUGUUGGGUUAAGUCCCGCAACGAGCGCAACCCUUGUUCACUGUUGCCAGCACGUUAUGGUGGGGACUCAGUGGAGACCGCCGGGGUCAACUCGGAGGAAGGUGGGGAUGACGUCAAGUCAUCAUGCCCCUUAUGUCCAGGGCUUCACGCAUGCUACAAUGGCUGGUACAGAGAGUGGCGAGCCUGUGAGGGUGAGCGAAUCUCGGAAAGCCGGUCUCAGUUCGGAUUGGGGUCUGCAACUCGACCUCAUGAAGUCGGAGUCGCUAGUAAUCGCAGAUCAGCAACGCUGCGGUGAAUACGUUCCCGGG